AGAAACUAAGACCCAGAAAGGGGAAAUGACUCACCCAAGAUCGCACAGUUUGUUUCGAGUAGAUUCUUUUAUCACUAAUGAUGAUAUUGAACAUAUAAACCUACUGUUCCUGUGGAAAUAGAAAGCCUACAGCUGUCCACUCAGAUGCUCAUCCUGAGGAGAGACUUCUGCCUUGGAGGAAAUUAGAAAUCAAAUUCAGAAUGUCUGAUCAAGAUCCUACUAGACUGGUUCCUCUCAGACAUAACAACUAUAAAGUCUGGGCAAGAUAAAACAAACGAACAAAGACUACCUGGAGGCAAUGGAGACUGAGAAAAAUUAAACAGAUUAUGGAGAAUGGUUGGCAUUUGGAAAAAGAAAUGGAAAAGGAUGUUCACAUGAAGAGACAUUAUAGAAUAAGAAUCAAGAAUCAGAAGGGCGUGAGACCUCUCAGCUGCAACGAAUAAAAUUAGAAGACAGUGGAAGAGUGCCCUUAAAAUUCUGAUGGAAAUGGAUUUUCAAUUCAUAAUUCAAUACUCAGCCUAACUGUCAAUAAGAUGAAUGAUACAAUAUCUUUAAGAAUUUAUUUUCUUUUGGAAAUAAUUAUGGGAUGUGCAUCAUCAAAACAAGAUGGCAAGCAAAGAAAGUGGAAGGCGUGGGAUUAAGGGAUCAAGGAUGCAACACAGUGGAGAAGGAAGGAAAUUCCUGGGAAAAAAGGAAAUUCCCAGAAUGGUUUGAAGGGAAGUCCCAGUGGUACAGUGAACCUAGAGGGCCAUCAGUCUAGAAUAAUGGAAAAGGAUGGAGAUAGCGGAGAGAGAAAAUCCUCAAAGAAAAAUGAAACUUAGGGAAUACCUGAUGAGUUUGAACUUUAGAGAAUAUUUUUAGUUUUGCUGAAGAAUUGUGGAUGACAUAGUGAGAGCGAGAUAAAAAUUGAGGAAAUUUAAAAGAUGAUAUUUCCUCUACAGAAAACAAAAAGUUGCUCAUGGAAAGAAAUCUUAUCAUUGUAAACUAUAGGUUCAGCCCUGAAUAAUAUUUAUGUUAUUAUAAUAAACACUAUACUGAUUUAAGCAAAAAGAGUAAGAAGCUAUAUUGAGAUUAUCAGGGAGGAAAAUUAUGUAUGUAUGUCGGGGUAAGAGCUAAAUCUGUUUUUUAAGAUUUUCU